rnacentral:rRNA from 1 species
ACCCGCUGAAUUUAAGCAUAUUAGUCAGCGGAGGAGAAGAAACUAACCAGGAUUC